UGCGGAGGAUGCAAGCGUUAUCCGGAAUGAUUGGGCGUAAAGCGUCCGCAGGUGGCUAUGUAAGUCUGCUGUUAAAGAGUGAGGCUCAACCUCAUAAGAGCAGUGGAAACUACAUGGCUAGAGUGCGUUCGGGGCAGAGGGAAUUCCUGGUGUAGCGGUGAAAUGCGUAGAGAUCAGGAAGAACACCGGUGGCGAAAGCGCUGUGCUAGGCCGAAACUGACGCUCAUGGACGAAAGCUAGGGGAGCAAAUGGG
rnacentral:rRNA from 1 species